UGGAGUGCGGGCACAAGGCAGAGUGAGAGACUCUGUGCCCGGCUACAGGCAGUGAGGGCCAAGAGGUCACAAUCCACUGCUGCGUAUGUCACUAUCCCUCACGUAGGGGAUGGGUGCCAGUGACGUCACAAUGGGCGAGCGUCAUCUGCAGCACUCCAACCCCAGCAAUGGCAUCCGGGUUUUCCGCAGUGCCUCUGUCCCUUCUGUUCCCUAUAUUGUGUCUGCUCGCUGUUGGCAUUUUGCAGCAGUGUCUGGAGCUUUGACUGAGUCUUCCCACGUCGCCCCAGCCGUGACAAAUCUCCAGAUCUGUACAGCACUGGGGUGCCUUCAACAAAACUCAUGUCUUUCUCUGAGGCAACAGGACACGGGCCUAACUGACUCUCCCCACAAGCCAGCACUGCUGCCUUGCCCCAUGUGUGCAUUGGUUCCUUCCACAUCUGAGCAUCAGUGCUACCCUGGCUCUUCCUGUGCUGCUUCUUAUUUUGUUGGUAUUGGAGCCUCCUGUGUUCUCCUAUUGCCUCUUGUCCUUUUACUUAGCACAAGCCAAAAAUGUUUGGUUCUGCCCUCUUUGCAAUCUUCUUCAGAGUGGUGACUAUAGAUCCGAAUAUAUAUGUGUGUCUCCUGCCUCACCUGUGGUGUGAGUUGUGACAUACUGGUAACUACAGUUAUUGAACUGGCUAUGCUAUUUAGAGAUUUGUGAAAUCUUGUUGGCUGCAACAGAGGUAAAGCACCUUGAAUCUGGAGAGCUUGUUUAACGCUGCAGGUUUUUUUUGGUUGGAAGGUUCUUUAUACCCUUUGAAAAACACAAUGAACUUCAGCAGUAGCAUCUGAUAGGAGGAAACACAUGCUGUGAAGAAGUCUGGGAGUAACCAGGCACCAGUGCAGG